UGGGGAAUAUUGGACAAUGGGGGCAACCCUGAUCCAGCAAUUCUGUGUGCACGAAGACGGUUUUCGGAUUGUAAAGUGCUUUCAGCAGGGAAGAAGGAAGUGACGGUACCUGCAGAAGAAGCGACGGCUAAAUACGUGCCAGCAGCCGCGGUAAUACGUAUGUCGCGAGCGUUAUCCGGAAUUAUUGGGCAUAAAGGGCAUCUAGGCGGCCUUUCAAGUCAGGGGUGAAAACCUGCGGCUCAACCGCAGGCCUGCCUUUGAAACUGAUAGGCUGGAGUACCGGAGAGGUGGACGGAACUGCACGAGUAGAGGUGAAAUUCGUAGAUAUGUGCAGGAAUGCCGAUGAUGAAGAUAGUUCACUGGACGGUAACUGACGCUGAAGUGCGAAAGCCGGGGGAGCGAACA
rnacentral:rRNA from 1 species